rnacentral:rRNA from 1 species
UACGUAGGGACCAAGCGUUGUUCGGAUUUACUGGGCGUAAAGGGCGCGUAGGCGGCGAUGUAAGUCACUUGUGAAAUCUCUGAGCUUAACUCAGAACGGCCAAGUGACACUGCAUUGCUAGAGUGCAGAAAGGGCAAUCGGAAUUCUUGGUGUAGCGGUGAAAUGCGUAGAUAUCAAGAGGAACACCUGAGGCGAAGGCGGGUUGCUUGUCUGACACUGACGCUGAGGCGCGAAAGCCAGGGGAGCAAACGGG